CCAGUCGAGCCAGUCAGUGCAGUGAAGUAGGUACGAAUAGGUAUUAAGGUGAGAGCGAGCUCGAGCGAAGACCACCGAGGAGUGCGCGUACGCAACUUAAUUUCCGCCGCUAGUAUACCUCCCGGUCAUCCGAGGCGAACGGUUAGUACGAAUCUAGCGAGCAACCUGUUCGGUCGAACAAACGAGAAGUUCCAAGUGUAGUUACUGGCCGGUAGUGAUAAAAGUGUUUCUGUCUGAUAUCAUUUUUGUACCGUGUUGGGGAGCGUUUUGCGAUACGAGUCGAGUGGCUGCCCUCACAAGAUGAUGCAUGCUAAUUGAGGGGAAAGAAUACAACAAAAUCACUGCAAAUUGGUUCAAGAUAUCGCUCACGCAUCAGUGGGGCGCACAAGUGCAAUUAUCGUGUUUUCCGAGGUGCGUUUCGGCCAAGAGACGAGAAAAACGAGAUCGAGUGCGAUCGAUCGUCGGCGAGUGUCAGUGUUUGAGAAGAAGAAAAUGUGGCGAUUUCAAGUGCACCGGGCAAGCCUUGCGCUGGUGAGUUUGGUGGUCCUGCUGAUCAGUGUUGCCAGCUGGGCCGAUGGCACCGCCCUAGAACCACUGGAAGGCACCGCCUACUACGGGCGGCGGUUUCGCGGUGGCAGCAACGCCAACCGGAUGGUAUUCCCCACCGAAAAGGAACGCUACAACGUCAUCAGCAAGGAUGUGAAACGGGAGGCGGAAAGCGACGACGGCUGUUUCUAUGAUGAUAUCCCACUGGAGCUCGCCCUGCAGUUGGGCAAUAUCAGUACCAGCGACGACGUGUUCAAUCAGGGACUGGUCGAGGAGGACUCCAUCGAUCAUCGUAUCUUCAGUAAUGGAUAUGGUGAACGAUCUGGCGGGGAAGUGCCUAAGCCAGCCGGAUGCAACACGCAGGCAACGAUCGUGAGUCUUCGACCGGAGAACAACACCGAUCCUCGUCUAAUCUACAGUCCCUCAUGUACUCGAGUGGAUCGCUGCAGCGGGUGCUGCGUAUCGAAACGUCUGUCCUGUCAACCAACGUCAACUCGACUGAGGUCCUUCUCGGUCAACGUCCUCGAAUACGUAUCCGGCACCAAGACCCGUUUCAAGAACCGCGAUCUGGCUGUGAUCGAGGAGCACGUGGGCUGCGCUUGUCAGUGCCGUGUCAAGGAAGAACACUGCACUGCCCUGCAGAAGUACAACGCCCGCAACUGUCGGUGCGAGUGCAAGAACUUGGACGAUCGAUCCAAGUGUCUGCAGCAGAAUGAACUCAAGCAGUGGAACCCGGAAACGUGUCUGUGCGAAUGUCUGGAUCCGACGGACUGUACCAGCGGGUCAUACUACGAUCACAACUUCUGCAAGUGCCUACAGUACGACUUCUACAGCAUACAUUAACACAACAUGCACGCCAAAAGAAACCCAAUCGAACGCAUUACUUUUAUUCUCAUCACUGUUUAGUAGAGUAGUUAGUUAGACACUUAAUUCCUAAGAAAGAGAGCAUACAACUCUUACUAUUUAAGACAAUCAAUGUGCCAAAUCAAUACAUUAAUGCGAAACGAAUCGCUCGUGCUCGAAGCGAGUGACUGAGACUGGAAUUUAUUCAGAAGAAAUCCUAAACCUUCAUAACUUCGGUUUGCGCAUUAAACAUAAAAUAACCGGAACGGCAUCGGGUGCGUGUUGUUUGCUGUGUAUGUUAGUCAUGUUCGUCCGGCCAGGUUUUGAGUACGAUAUAGGGAGGUCGCAUCGCUACAAUUGGUUUUAAUAGGGGUUGCGUCGGCACGCGUUGGGUUCCUAUUCCAUCUAUUCGGCCACACGUUCCCGCAACCCCCAGUCGACGAUGGAUCGAAGACGCCUCAUCCUGAAGCCCGUUCCGUCGUUGUCCUAGUUGAAGUGAGCAACAAUAUGAUUAAGCUUAGGUUUGAACUACAAGGCAAUCCGCCUUUGAGCGUUGCGUGCAUCGAUUUGCGCGCACCAAGUGAUGCAGCAAACGAGCGAACGUCACAAUCAAAUCAAAUUUGUAUCGCGAAAAGAAACACGAGUAGUGAAACAACACACCACUAGACUACAUCAAUGAAGCAGAAAUCGACAGUACAAAUCACCAGGAUUGGGCAAAAAAGGAUUCAAGAAAAAAAAAACAAAGUUAUUUAUUAGUUGAGUUAGAUGAACAUAAAACAAGAAAGCAGGGACAUUCCUAAAAAGAUAUUGCUUUGAGUACAUUUCAAGAUUCGGGGCAUCGACGUGAAACCAAAAGGUCAGAAAGAGGUGAACAAUGCCAUACCUAAGCUCGCAGAAGAAUCGUGCACUUGCACUGGUGCACGCAAAUGCUACCCGUUUGGUUGCAAGCGGUCGCAGUGCGUCGGAAAGUUGUGGGCAAGGACAAGGAUGAGAAAAGGAUGUUUGUGUGUGAAUUUUUAUAUCCGAUUUAGAUUUUUUAUUAUCUACACGACCAUGUUUCGAACGCUCGUCUAGCAGUUCGCGAUGGAAAGCUAUUUAUUUCUACAUGUUUAGAUUACCGUAAUAAACAGUAUGACUCGACAGGGGGA